GAUCAUGGUUUCUCAGGACGAACGCUGGCGGCGCGCCUAACACAUGCAAGUCGAACGAGCGAGAGAGAGCUUGCUUUCUCGAGCGAGUGGCGAACGGGUGAGUAACGCGUGAGGAACCUGCCUCAAAGAGGGGGACAACAGUUGGAAACGACUGCUAAUACCGCAUAAGCCCACGGGUCGGCAUCGACCAGAGGGAAAAGGAGCAAUCCGCUUUGAGAUGGCCUCGCGUCCGAUUAG
rnacentral:rRNA from 1 species